rnacentral:rRNA from 1 species
CCUUACGGGCGGUGAGUACAAUUGCAGUUGAUACUGCGUCGCUUGAGUGCACACAGGGAUGUUGGAAUUCAUGGUGUAGCGGUGAAAUGCUUAGAUAUCAUGAAGAACUCCGAUCGCGAAGGCAUAUGUCCGGAGUGCAACUGACGCUGAGGCUCGAAAGUGUGGGUAUCAAACAGGAUUAGAUACCCUGGUAGUCCACACAGUAAACGAUGAAUACUCGCGGUUGGUUCGUUAGAUUCAGCCGCCAAGCGAAAGCGUUAAGUAUUCCACCUGGGGAGUACGCCGGCAACGGUGAAACUCAAAGGAAUUGACGGGGGCCCGCACAAGCGGAGGAACAUGUGGUUUAAUUCGAUGAUACGCGAGGAACCUUACCCGGGCUUGAACUGCCAGUGACUCAUGCAGAGACGCAUGUUUCUUCGGACACUGGCGGAGGUGCUGCAUGGUUGUCGUCAGCUCGUGCCGUGAGGUGUCGGCUUAAGUGCCAUAACGAGCGCAACCCUUCUCCCUGUUUGCCAUCGGGUUAAGCCGGGCACUCCAGGGACACUGCCAUCGUAAGAUGUGAGGAAGGUGGGGAUGACGUCAAAUCAGCACGGCCCUUACGUCCGGGGCUACACACGUGUUACAAUGGGCGGUACAGAAAGCAGCUACCCCGCGAGGGGAUGCCAAUCUCAAAAACCGUUCUCAGUUCGGACUGGAGUCUGCAACCCGACUCCACGAAGCUGGAUUCGCUAGUAAUCGCGCAUCAGCCAUGGCGCGGUGAAUACGUUCCCGGGCCUUGCACACACCGCCCGUA